AGAAACGUUUUCUAGGGUUCCGUAACGAGGUAUGUUAGUCUGGUCCGAGAGAAAACUCACAGCUUGGCUGUGCCACGGAGGGACAAAAGCCUGGGAGAU
rnacentral:sRNA from 2 species